rnacentral:rRNA from 1 species
GUAAGGAAUAUUGGUCAAUGGGCGGAAGCCUGAACCAGCCAUGCCGCGUGCAGGACGACGGCCCUACGGGUUGUAAACUGCUUUUGCCCGGGAAUAACCCCCCGCUCUUGAGCGGGGCUGAACGUACCGGGAGAAUAAGGAUCGGCUAACUCCGUGCCAGCAGCCGCGGUAAUACGGAGGAUCCGAGCGUUAUCCGGAUUUAUUGGGUUUAAAGGGUGCGUAGGCGGCCCGUUAAGUCAGGGGUGAAAUACGGCAGCUCAACUGUCGCAGUGCCCUUGAUACUGACGGGCUUGAAUACCGGUGAAGGCGGCGGAAUGAGACAAGUAGCGGUGAAAUGCAUAGAUAUGUCUCAGAACCCCGAUUGCGAAGGCAGCUGCCUAACCGGCGAUUGACGCUGAUGCACGAAAGCGUGGGGAUCGAACAGGAUUAGAAACCCGAGUAGUCC